rnacentral:rRNA from 1 species
GGUCACCGCUCUUGGAAUCCGAUUAAGCCAUGUGAGUCGAGAGGGUUCGGCCCUCGGCAGACUGCUCAGUAACACGUGGAUAACCUACCCUAAGGUGGGGGAUAAUCUCGGAAAACUGAGGAUAAUACCCCAUAGAUCUGGAUGACUGGAAUGUCUUCAGGUUGAAAACCACGGUGCCUUAGGAUGGGUCUGCGGCUUAUCAGGUUGUAGUUAGUGUAAAGGACUAACUAGCCGACGACGGGUACGGGCCAUGGGAGUGGUAGCCCGGAGAUGGACUCUGAGACACGAGUCCAGGCCCUACGGGGCGCAGCAGGCGCGAAAACUUCGCAAUGCGCGAAAGCGCGACGAGGGGAUUCCAAGUGCAUGCACUAAGUGUAUGCUUUUCGUGAGUUUACAACGCUUACGGAAUAAGGGCUGGGUAAGACUGGUGCCAGCCGCCGCGGUAAUACCAGCGGCCCUAGUGGUGAUCGUUAUUAUUGGGCCUAAAGCGUCCGUAGCCGGUCCGGUAAAUCUCUGGGUAAAUCGUUGGGCUUAACUCAACGAAUUCUGGGGAGACUGCUGGACUUGGGACCGGGAGAGGUCGGAGGUACUCCAGGGGUAGGGGUGAAAUCCUGUAAUCCUUGGGGGACCACCGGUGGCGAAGGCGUCCGACCAGAACGGGUCCGACGGUAAGGGACGAAGCCCUGGGGCGCGAACCGGAUUAGAUACCCGGGUAGUCCAGGGUGUAAACGCUGUGCGCUUGGUGUUGGGGGUCCUACGAGGGCACCCAGUGCCGGAGAGAAGUUGUUAAGCGCACCGCCUGGGGAGUACGGUCGCAAGACUGAAACUUAAAGGAAUUGGCGGGGGAGCACAGCAACGGGAGGAGCGUGCGGUUU